rnacentral:rRNA from 1 species
AAACCAGCACCUCAAGUGGUCAGGAGGAUUAUUGGGCCUAAAGCAUCCGUAGCCGGCUCUGUAAGUUUUCGGUUAAAUCUGUACGCUCAACGUACAGGCUGCCGGUAAUACUGCAGAGCUAGGGAGUGGGAGAGGUAGACGGUACUCGGGAGGAAGUGGUAAAAUGCUUUGAUCUCUCGAUGACCACCUGUGGCGAAGGCGGUCUACCAGAACACGUCCGACGGUGAGGGAUGAAAGCUGGGGGAGCAAACCGGAUUAGAUACCCGAGUAGUCC